ensembl:lncRNA
GUACAUCAAUAGAGUGAUAAGAAGAAAACGCUCUCCGGUGCUGUGCUCUGUAAAUAUCACAAAUCACACAGUGGGAACCUGCGAGCAAGGCACACACUUCCACGCCGGUCAAUCUCAUUAGCGCGAACGUGAUGCGUAUGUGUUGUCAUGGAAGGUGAGGACGUUUUACCGUCUAGGGAACAUCAGAAAAUGUGAAAAUGAAUUUCGUUCCUGACCAAAAUUUGAUGUUAUAGACUCAAAAAAAUGAAGAAUAAAGACUAUAUAGACAGAAAAUACAAUUUUUGUUAUUACUAUUUUUUUUUUUUUCCAAUUCUGAAUGAAUAGUCCUAGACGUCUCGUCUCGUCUGUGCUGUCGUGUCAGGUUUUGUAACUUCUCGGAUACGGAUUUAUAUUUUUCCUCGGAGCACUGAAACCUAAUCUGUUGUGAAAUUGUUGAUACUGCUCAACGUGACAAAACGACCCCCCCCCCAGGAGUAACGAUUCACUUUAUAUGAGCCCUUAGGCAAAUUGACGUUGUGCCGAUCGUACACGCGCCAAACGGGCUCGUUUCCAGGCUCUACGUUUCACUAAACACUAUAAAGAUGAAUGUUAGUGCAGUCUUGGUAAGAACAUACUGUCACUCUGCUGUAACAUACGUAAUGAAUAUGCAACGGAUUGCAGAUACUAAAGCGGUGAUCAAAUAUACUGGUGGUGUAUUUGACGUGAUUGAGGUUUACGUCCAGCUUUGAGUAAUGUUUUUUGUUAUUCUUUUCCCCCACACUGUGUUAACCAGGUAGUAAAAAAAAUCACAGCCAACGUAUUUCGAGGAAUGAAAAUGAAUUAGGCAAACGAACAGAGUUGUUCCCUGGUAAUCAUUUUAAAAGUUCUGCUGCCAGUAAAUAAAAUGCAGAGUGCUCAGAUAUGAAAUGAAGCUCUUCGGACAAAAGAGAACCCACUUUCGUUAGCGUGGAAGAGUACGGGGUGCUCACACUGAGCUGCACACGGAGCUGCGCACGGAGCUGCUGGUGUUGGUUGGGGGUUGGUCAGAAUUCCUUCAGGAGGAGAGGAGAGGUGGGGUUUUUUGGUCAGAAUUCCUUUGGGAGUGAGUGGGACUGGUCAAAAUGUGAUCAUUUUAUUUGAUUUCUAUUGUUCUUUUAAUAAUACAGUCACAAAGCAGCUUUACAGGGAUUAGUCAGAGUUCCUUUGCGAGAAGGCAGGAUUGGUCAGAAAUCCGUCUUGAGAGGUGGGAUUAAUCAGAAUUCCUUUAUGAGAGCAGGUGGGAUCAGUCAGAAUUCCUUUACGAGAGCAGGUGGAAUCAGUCAGAAUUCCUUUACGAGUGCAGGUGGGAUCAGUCAGGAUUCCUAUGGCAGAGCAGGUGGGAUCAGUCAGAAUUCCUUUACGAGAGCAGGUGGGAUCAGUCAGAAUUCCUUUGCGAGAGCAGGUGGGAUCAGUCAGAAUUCCUAUGGCAGAGCAGGUUGGAUCAGUCAGAAUUCCUUUGCGAGUACAGGUGGGAUCAGUCAGGAUUCCUAUGGCAGAGCAGGUGGGAUCAGUCAGAAUUCCUUUGCGAGAGCAGGUGGGAUCAGUCAGAAUUCCUUUGCGAGAGCAGGUGGGAUCAGUCAGAAUUCCUUUGCGAGAGCAGGUGGGAUCAGUCAGAAUUCCUUUGCGAGAGCAGGUGGGAUCAGUCAGAAUUCCUUUGCGAGAACAGGUGGGAUCAGUCAGAAUUCCUUUGCAAGAGCAGGCGGGAUCAGUCAGAAUUCCUUUGCGAGAGCAGGUGGGAUCAGUCAGAAUUCCUUUGCAAGAGCAGGUGGGAUCAGUCAGAAUUCCUUUGCAAGAGCAGGCGGGAUCAGUCAGAAUUCCUUCAAGAGAACGUGGGAGCAGGAUUUAAAAAAAAGAAAGGAAAGAAACAACAGUUUAAUGCACACCUCUACACCAUAGUAACUCAUGCGGCGUGUUUUGUAUCAUUAUCCUGCAACAUGAAGUGACCUCAAGUUUAGAGUUUGUUUAUUAUUCGAUAUUUGGCCUUUUUAAUGGGGGAAGUCCUUAGAUCAUUUUUUGUGUAAUUUGAGAGUGUUUUUUUCAUUCUAGAACAUGAUGACCUGCUUUACUUUCACUUUUUAUUUUAUUUUUUUCCUGCUGCGGAUAAACAGCAACAGAACCCGGAUUCACGCGUCACUUCUAGAGUCUAGGUCUUGUUUUAAGCUCUGUUGUACACGAACAGACUGUACACUGACGCACAACUAGCCAAAAUACCACCACCAAACC